UUUUGGAACUAUAGCGCACAGUUUGUGUUUCAUAUUGACUACAGGGUUUUGUCGGAAAAUCUUGUCUAGCUAUGUUUGUGACAUUUGUGCAAUUUCGUGUUGCUUGCUGUAGCAAGAUCUCCUCUUUCAAUACCUACUGCAACAAUAAAUGCCAAUAGUCUAUCUAAUUUACACAUGUAGUCUAUUAAGUGAGUUCCUUUCACAGGAUCUUAUGUACCCAGUUCUAAAGCAAUAUGUGAUUUACUCUGCCGCGCAAGAAAUGGUCGACAAAGUUUGACAGCAUUGUGGUGUGCUUGUGGAUCAGGCACGACUUGUUUCAACGGAACUAAUCCGGGUCGCAAUACUCUCGCAUGGAAUGUGGCAUGAGGCUCUGGACGAAGGCGAGCUGUCUGUAUUUUGGUGAACACAACGUUGAAAGUAUUGGAGUCAUUGCAUGAGAUGCUUGAGGAAGGGGCUAUAAGGAAUAAUACUGUGAUAAAGGAGACACCAGUAAUUGAGGCCUAUUGUCAUGAAUUGCUGGGUGCCUAUGAAUGUUGCAUGACGUAUAAGAGAACUGUAAAGGAUGCUGAGCUUACUCAGGCAUGGGAUCCUUAGAUUUUUUACUAUCAUGAAGUCAGACAAACAGAUAAGCAGCUGCAAAGUCUACCUAAACUGGUCUUGGAGGUAUUGAGAUAUAUUCAUCCUUUUGGUUGAACAUAUUUUAUCGUCA